AUAAAUGACAGCUUACCAGCACGUGUGGUCCAUCCCCAAUCAAUUCGAUAGGUUGGACUGGUUCUUGGACAUUGCUUACCAAAUUAUUUGUCCUCCUAAACCAAUGGCGCGGAUUUGACCACUGCAUGCCGGCGAACUAAUAAAAAAUAUUAAAAUAUUAUAAUUUAUGGUUUUAACAAUCAAUUAAAUUAAAACUUACGUUUCUAAAAAAUGCUCUUUCGGUUAAA